UACGUAGGCAGCAAGCGUUGUUCGGAGUUACUGGGCGUAAAGGGUGUGUAGGCGGUUUUUUUAAGUUUGGUGUGAAAUCUCCCCGGCUCAACUGGGAGGGUGCGCCGAAUACUGAAAGACUAGAGUGCGGGAGAGGAAAGUGGAAUUCCUGGUGUAGCGGUGAAAUGCGUAGAUAUCAGGAGGAACACCGGUGGUGUAGACGGCUUUCUGGACCGUAACUGACGCUGAGACACGAAAGCGUGGGUAGCAAACAGG
rnacentral:rRNA from 1 species